ACUCAAUAGAUACCCGGGUAGUCCACGCCCUAAACGAUGCAUAUUUGGUGUGGGCAGUUCAGUCUGUCCGUGCCGGAGCUAACGCGUUAAAUAUGCCGCCUGGGGAGUACAGUCGCAAGGCUGAAACUCAAAGGAAUUGACGGGGGCCCGCACAAGCGGUGGAGCAUGUGGUUCAAUUCGACGCAACGCGAAGAACCUUACCUGGGCUCGAACGGCUGGUCAACGCCGGUGGAAACAUCGGUACCCCGCAAGGGGGUCCAGUCGAGGUGCUGCAUGGCUGUCGUCAGCUCGUGUCGUGAGAUGUUGGGUUAAGUCCCGCAACGAGCGCAACCCUUGUCCUGUGUUGCCAUCAUUCAGUUGGGAACUCGCAGGAGACCGCCAGGGAUAACCUGGAGGAAGGUGGGGAUGACGUCAAGUCCUCAUGGCCUUUAUGUCCAGGGCUACACACGUGCUACAAUGGACGGUACAAAGCGCAGCAAACCCG
rnacentral:rRNA from 1 species